rnacentral:SRP_RNA from 1 species
GCUGGGCGUGGUGGCGCGUGCCUGUAAUCCUAGCCUCUUAGGAGGCUGAGGCAGGAGGAAUUGCCUGAGCCCAGGAGGCGGAGGUUGCGGUGAGCCGAGAUCGCGCCAUUGCACUCCAGCCUGGGUAACGAGAGCGAAACUCCGUCUCAAAAAAAAAAAAAAAAAAAAAAAAGAAAUGGAGUCUUGCUCUGUCAUCCAGGCCAGAGUGCAGUGGCGUGAUCUUGGCUCACUGCAACUUCCGCCUCCCGGGUUCAAGUGAUUCUCCUGCCUCA